ensembl:lincRNA
UAAGUCUUAAAAGCUGUUUUUCUGUGUUAUGACAGUGUGGAUAGUUUCUGACAGUCUGUUUUUUUAGUGCCUAAAAAGCAUAAGCAUACCCUCGAUCUGUGCUGCUUUGCUGAUAAGCUGAUCAUCCCAUAUCAUUGAUAAGAGAGAUUUGUACAACUCCUUCUGUGUGCCAGGCCCUGUUCAAAGAUGAUGGUAUCUCCUCUCCCUCAUAGAAUGCCUCUAAGCGACUGACAAGUGGUGACUGUAAGACGCACAGGGAACAGAUGGAGCAGCUGGUGCUGUGCAUGAAAGGUCAAGUGCUUGGACUGAUGGUGUCCUGUCCCACAUAGGCCAGUGUCUCAGUGUGACCAUGAGAUUCAGCAGUCAGCCUUGCCCAAGUGUCCUUUCCAGUCUACAGUGGACCUGGAAGUUGGAGGCAGAAAUGGGGAUGCCAGGUUACUGUGUGGUCCUGAGUGGAUUUGCCAUAACAAGUACAUUACUUAUGUCUGGUUUAUCAUAUGAUGCUGUUGUUUAUAACUAAUUAUUAAUCUUCUACACUCGGUUUUAUUUUCCAUAAGCUUUACCCAUGGAUGAAAGAUUUUAUUAACUUUUCCUCACAUGAUAAAUCUAGACUUUGAAAUAUUGAACUAAGAAAAAAACAACUGGAAAGUAUAUUGAGAAGUACGCCCAAUUGCUGCCCUGCCUAACUCUUCAGGUGACAAGUAGCUUUCUAAAGCUUGGAACUGUCGAAGGACUUCUGAGUAUGCUUCCAGCCACAAGUCAGUACUGACAUCGUCACCAGUGUGUGUAGGAGGAGGGCACUGCUCUCCACACUGAUGCAGCACUGUGGUGGUUGUUCCUCUCAGGUACCCUACUGACAGACCAUAGCACAGCUAUGUCCCCAUCGUGCUGGAGUUUGUUGUAUGAAUAGUUAAGAUGUUAAUACUACACUUUUUUGCCUUUCUCAUAGCUAAUGUCUAUAGAACUAGCUGUAUUACUUGGUUUUUGUUUUGUUUUGUUUUGAUUUUUAUUGUUUUAGCUGUUAAAUGCCCCCCCCCCCCAAUUUCCAGAUAGUAUAUCUAACUGCAACAGAUGAAUUUUAUGGUUCACAAUAAGUUUGACUUUCAACAAUUUGUUCAGUGUGAAUAUUUUUAUCUUUUUCAUGCUUCAACUUACUUGAAACUCAAUUUAUUAUUAAAAACUGUCUAGUAGGACCAACUUAUUGUUACUUUGGUAUGCAGUGAAAUGUUCGAUUAAGCUAAUAUUGAAGAAAGAUACUCUGACUGUUUUGAAAUUUAUUAUGAAUCAUAAAGCAAAAAUCAUUUCAUAAUAUUUCAGAGAUAAAGGUGCAACUGUUCUUAGUCCAGUAUGUCAGUAGAAUUCAUAGCACAAAUAAAGUUUGCUUAACUAAAAGAUUUUUUUCUGAAAGUCCAUCUAUUAUCAGAAAGCACCAGGAAGAAGUUGUAUUAGUAGCUGCUGUUUUCAUUGGAAGAGUUUUUCACUAAAUUUCUGUGUAAAAUCUAUUUUCAAUAAGAGAUGUUUUUGUUUUCCAAACAUACUAUUUAGUAUGAUCUUUUGCCAUCUAAAUGGAUAAGAAAGAUACAAUUGAGGGCUGGUGGUGGUCAUAUAACCACUAAAGAAACCCUGUCUUUAGUGCUGUAUCUUGUAUUCAUUCUCAUGUUAAUUAAUUACUAGAUGUUUUCAGUCGUGUCUCCAAUGAAAACAGGAGCGAGAGAUCUUUCUGAGUCAGUUGAUGAAUGAAUCAUACUAAUUUUUAACAGGUUUUCCAUAUGAUUUUUAUCUCCAUCUUUUUAGUAUGCUGACCAAGUUCUUCUAGGUGGUAAAGUUUGUAUUCCAGGUAUAUUGAGUUUAUGUAUUUAUCAUGUAUGCACUAUUUUUCGGUGAAAACAAACAUCAACCUAAUGGGCAGCCAUUAUCCAGUAUCCAUGUAUACUGAUUUACUCAUGAGUUCCACCUGUUUGCAUUUUUUGUUUAUUGUUUUUAUUUUUUGUUUGUUUGGAUUUUUUUUCUUGUGUCAAAAAAUAAAGUUUAAUGCUUUUCCUGGUACCUUGCCCUUUGUUGGCAUAAUUGGGAUAUAAAUCAUUCAAAUCUCCACAAUUAAGAGUUUCAGAAAUAUGUGAUACUGGCCACUUGACUUAAUAAAGACUAGAUGUACAAAACAGAUAGAAAAAAAGUCUAUUUCCUCACUAAAAACAAUUGAAUAUUUUUCUUAUUAGCAAAUAUUAGUAAUAGCAUAGACUAUGAAUAAUUUCUAUAUGUUUUGGUGGGCACAUAGUGAGACAAUGAUUAUUACAGUAAAUACUCAUUUCAGUUAACCAACUGGGCAUUGUAAUUACAAUAGGGCUAUAAUGCAUGGAAACUCACUCGUCAGAAUCCUUAGAGCUAUAACCUGAGACAGUUGAAGGGCCCAUAGUUCAUUUGGGAGGUGUAGAUAGUAGUGAGUCUGAGGAAGCCUGGAAAGGAAAGGUGUACAGGGGGUGUGUUGUCAUGCUGGCUAACACUGCAGGCUGCUAGAGCCAUAUUUCCUUUGUGCUACUCUGGAAAACACUAGAACACACAAUUUAGACAUACCUCAUGUGAAGAAGUGGGGUUCAGAACUAGUCUGGGACAGUGGUAGCUAUCCUGUACAGUGAACAGCAGCUCUUGGCAACUUGUAUUCAAGAGCUGUAGCUGGACAUGAUGGCACAUGCUUGGCAGUCCCAGCAAGGGACUGAGAGGUAGGGUCAGGAAGACCAGGAGUUUAGGGGUAACCUGGGCUACAUGAGACUGGUUCAAAAAAAAUAGAGACGAGCAGUAGUUGAAGAUUGGUAGACACAGAGUAUCAUUAUAAUACCCACAUUGUCCCUUACAUGUAUACUUGACAGUCCAGCCUCAUAGUACAGUCAGAUGGUGUUCUGUGCGCUUGCGCUGCAUGACUGUGUAGCCCACACAGGCACAGCCAGGAAAGCCUGAAAGGCACAAUGAGAAGACAGUGCUGUGGUUCUGAUCCUGGUGGUAUUUACUAUUCAUGUGAUCAGGUCUCAUCUGUAAGAUCAGAAGAUGAAUCUGUACACACCACUCUCGGGUGUAUGUGGUCUGAAGCACAUUUGAGCUGAACUCUGCACAGAAGAGAGGAGGAGGUGCCUUGUUUUACAAAGAGGGAGGUCUGUUCAGUCAGCAAGAUGGAAAAGAUUUCUUGGCAAUUUAAAUUUUCAAAGGCAAAAGGGACAGAUGUUGUCCAGUGAUAAUUAAAAACUUACCUAAAAGGCUUUUUUAAAGUCUCCACUUGAACACACAUAUUUCACAACUGCAGGUUUGGGCUUCUUUUUCCCUUAUGUUACAUCAUGAACAUGUCACAUGUUAGUGUGCAUAAUACACAAAGAAUGUAAUGUAAUGUAAAUUGAUAUUGUAUGACUGGUUAUAUCUACAUAUUAAUACUAAAUUAUGAAUAUAUAAUGAAUGUGAAAUAAAGCACAUCCCUGAUAUUGAA